AGCAGUAGCCGCGGUAACACGGAGGGCGCGAGCGUUACCCGGAUUUACUGGGCGUAAAGGGCGUGUAGGCGGCCUGGGGCGUCCCAUGUGAAAGGCCACGGCUCAACCGUGGAGGAGCGUGGGAUACGCUCAGGCUAGAGGGUGGGAGAGGGUGGUGGAAUUCCCGGAGUAGCGGUGAAAUGCGCAGAUACCGGGAGGAACGCCGAUGGCGAAGGCAACCACCUGGUCCACUUCUGACGCUGAGGCGCGAAAGCGUGGGGAGCAAACCGGAUUAGAUACCCCUGUAGUCCCUGUCUCUUAUAC
rnacentral:rRNA from 1 species